GCAAACUUGGUCAUUUAGAGGAAGUAAAAGUCGUAACAAGGUUUCCGUAGGUGAACCUGCGGAAGGAUCAUUACAAAUCCACACGUCUCAUUCCCGAGACCACGUUGAACGCGAAUGUGUUGUAUGUGUGUUGUUGUUGUCGUGGGUCAGUGAGUAGUAGUAGUGUGAGAAUGGUGGGCGCGUGAUAGUUUAUCUAUCCGUGUCCUUCACUCACCUGCUCGCUUGCUUGCUUGCUCAUUCGACUACUACUUCCACGACAACGUUUGUACCUUACUGGUGAUGAUGUUGCACAUACGUAUAGUAUAUGCAUUGUGUGAUUGAUGGAAGAAGUGGGGUGGGGUGGUGAUGAUUCGCACGCAGUUUGCUUGCGAGUCUCUCCUCUCUUUCUCUCUCUCCCUCUCUCAACCAACAAAACGACAACAAAAACAACUUAUAACAAUGGAUCUCUAGGCUCUUGCAUCGAUGAAGAACGCAGC
rnacentral:misc_RNA from 1 species